rnacentral:sRNA from 1 species
ACCGGAAUCGAUGACACGCUUGAAAAAUAUUAACAUGAAUGGAGUCCAUGGAGCCCCGACACCAUCAGGAGCCCGCGCGAGAUCGAAAAGCAUAUCCAUCUCGAUUUGAGAGUACUUUUCGUGUACAAAUCUAAGGUUUAACUUGUACAGCUUGAGGGAUUUUCGGUCGAUUUCCUCCCGAUCUGCUCUGCGAUGGCAGUUAGGACAAAGAGCGAUGAGAUUCUCAUACUCAUGCGCCUGACAGGUGCGCCACGGGACAAUGUGGUGGAUAUCAACUUCGAUGUGCCUGCAGGUAGGUAUCGCACAGCGAUGACCCGCCUCUACGAGAACACGCCUUUUGAUCUCCGCAGGGAUUGAAGGCCUCUCUUCUGGAUUCCAUUCAGCCAAGCCGCCUCCCCUCAAACGAAUGAGCGAGCUUACCAAUCGCUGCCUUCAGGCCAAGCUCUAAGCCGAGCCUGAACAGGAAACAUCUCCUCCGGAAUCCCUAAGCGGAAAUCAGCCCGACGAUCCGCCCG